UGUCCAAAUCGGGAUUCGAACCCGGGUCAUUGCAGUCGAAAAACAACGGUUUAUACCAUUACUCCACCAGAC